UUGGGUUCGGGAUCGGGUUUAGGUUUAGGUUAGGGAGUUGAGAUUAGGAUUAGGUGUAGGUUUAGGUUUAGGGAUUUGAGAAUACAUUUAGGUUUUAGGUUUAGGUUUAGGUUUUAGGUUAUAGGUUAAGGUUUAGGUUUUAGGUUUAGGUUAAGGUUAGGUUAUAGGUUAUAAGUUUAGGUUAUAGGUUAUAGGUUAAGGUUUUAGGUCAUAGGUUUUGGUUUUGGUUAAGGUUAUAGGCUUAGGUUUAGGUUUAGGUUAUAAGCUAUAGGUUUAGGGAAUUGAGAAUAGGUUAAGGUUUAGGUUUAGGAAAUCGGGUUCGGGUUCGGGAUCGGGUUUAGGUUUGGGUUUUCAAGUUUAGGUUUAGGUUUAGGUUAGGGAGUUGAGAUUAGGAUUAGGUGAAGGUUUAGGUUUAGGGAUUUGAGAAUACAUUUAGGUUAUAGGUUUAGGUUUAGGUUUAGGUUAAGGUUUAGGUUUAGGUUAUAAGCUAUAGGUUUAGGGAAUUGAGAAUAGGUUAAGGUUUAGGUUUAGGAAAUCGGGUUCGAGGUCGGGAUCGGGUUUAGGUUUGGGUUUUCAAGUAUAGGUUUAGGUUUAGGUUAGGGAGUUGAGAUUAGGAUUAAGUGUAGGUUUAGGUUUAGGGAUUUGAGAAUACAUUUAGGUUUUAGGUUUAGGUUUAGGUUUUAGGUUAUAGGUUAAGGUUUAGGUUUUAGGUUUAGGUUAAGGUUAGGUUAUAGGUUAUAAGUUUAGGUUUUAGGUCAUAGGUUUUGGUUUAGAUUAAGGUUAUAGGUUUAGGUUAAGGUUUAGGUGUAGGUUUAGGUUAAGGUUUUGGUUUAGGUUAUAAGCUAUAGGUUUAGGGAAUUGAGAAUUAGUUAAGGUUUAGGUUUAGGAAAUUGGGUUCGGGUUCGGGAUC